CCACCUGAUCCCAUGCCGAACUCAGUAGUGAAACGUAAUAGCGCCGAUGGUAGUGUGGGGCUUCCCCAUGUGAGAGUAGGACAUCGCCAGGC
rnacentral:rRNA from 1 species